rnacentral:piRNA from 1 species
UGCAAGGGAACAUCCUCAUUUGGA